GAUGAACGCUGGCGGCGUGCCUAACACAUGCAAGUCGAGCGAAGCGCUCAGGAGGAAGUUUUCGGAUGGAAUCCUGAAUGACUGAGCGGCGGACGGGUGAGUAACGCGUGGGUAACCUGCCUCAUACAGGGGGAUAACAGUUGGAAACGGCUGCUAAUACCGCAUAAGCGCACAGUACCGCAUGGUACGGUGUGAAAAACUCCGGUGGUAUGAGAUGGACCCGCGUCUGAUUAGCUAGUUGGUGGGGUAACGGCCUACCAAGGCGACGAUCAGUAGCCGACCUGAGAGGGUGACCGGCCACAUUGGGACUGAGACACGGCCCAAACUCCUACGGGAGGCAGCAGUGGGGAAUAUUGCACAAUGGGGGAAACCCUGAUGCAGCGACGCCGCGUGAGUGAAGAAGUAUUUCGGUAUGUAAAGCUCUAUCAGCAGGGAAGAAAAUGACGGUACCUGACUAAGAAGCCCCGGCUAACUACGUGCCAGCAGCCGCAGUAA
rnacentral:rRNA from 1 species